ACGCUCGACACCUACGUGAGGCAGCAGUGAGGAAUAUUGGUCAAUGGGCGCUAGCCUGAACCAGCCAAGUAGCGUGAAGGAUGAAGGCUCUAUGGGUCGUAAACUUCUUUUAUAUAAGAAUAAAGUGCAGUAUGUAUACUGUUUUGUACUGUAUUAUAUGAAUAAGGAUCGGCUAACUCCGUGCCAGUAGCCGCGGUAAUCUGAGCGGGCUGGCAAGGC
rnacentral:rRNA from 1 species